CCCUGAAUGGUGUGAGCAUUGACAGGAUCGACAGCUCCACGCUUGGUUUCAGCUUGGACCGAACCAGCAGCAAUGGCUUUUCAUCCUACCUGGUGAGUGCUGUUCUUCUCUCCCGGUCGUUUAUUAAUACACUUAACAAAAUGCGGGUCUCGACGCGUUUUACAUUUAAGAAGAGGGUUCAGAUUCUGUCGGUGAUCGUGGAUGAAAAUGUGCCUUUUCAGAUUCACUGUGUUUAAAGAGAUGUGUGCCUGUGACCCGAACCUGUGUCUCAUAUGCAAGAGGGAUCCAGGAUAACCUGCACCUUAUUGUAUGGGAUUAUUGGAUUCUGUAUUAAAACACUGUUGCAUGGGGCUCCUAAGUAGCUCAAC
rnacentral:lncRNA from 1 species